rnacentral:rRNA from 1 species
AGUCGAGCGGUAGCACAGAGAGCUUGCUCUCGGGUGACGAGCGGCGGACGGGUGAGUAAUGUCUGGGAAACUGCCUGAUGGAGGGGGAUAACUACUGGAAACGGUAGCUAAUACCGCAUAAUGUCGCAAGACCAAAGUGGGGGACCUUCGGGCCUCAUGCCAUCAGAUGUGCCCAGAUGGGAUUAGCUAGUAGGUGGGGUAACGGCUCACCUAGGCGACGAUCCCUAGCUGGUCUGAGAGGAUGACCAGCCACACUGGAACUGAGACACGGUCCAGACUCCUACGGGAGGCAGCAGUGGGGAAUAUUGCACAAUGGGCGCAAGCCUGAUGCAGCCAUGCCGCGUGUAUGAAGAAGGCCUUCGGGUUGUAAAGUACUUUCAGCGGGGAGGAAGGCGAUAAGGUUAAUAACCUUGUCGAUUGACGUUACCCGCAGAAGAAGCACCGGCUAACUCCGUGCCAGCAGCCGCGGUAAUACGGAGGGUGCAAGCGUUAAUCGGAAUUACUGGGCGUAAAGCGCACGCAGGCGGUCUGUCAAGUCGGAUGUGAAAUCCCCGGGCUCAACCUGGGAACUGCAUUCGAAACUGGCAGGCUAGAGUCUUGUAGAGGGGGGUAGAAUUCCAGGUGUAGCGGUGAAAUGCGUAGAGAUCUGGAGGAAUACCGGUGGCGAAGGCGGCCCCCUGGACAAAGACUGACGCUCAGGUGCGAAAGCGUGGGGAGCAAACAGGAUUAGAUACCCUGGUAGUCCACGCCGUAAACGAUGUCGAUUUGGAGGUUGUGCCCUUGAGGCGUGGCUUCCGGAGCUAACGCGUUAAAUCGACCGCCUGGGGAGUACGGCCGCAAGGUUAAAACUCAAAUGAAUUGACGGGGGCCCGCACAAGCGGUGGAGCAUGUGGUUUAAUUCGAUGCAACGCGAAGAACCUUACCUGGUCUUGACAUCCACAGAACUUAGCAGAGAUGCUUUGGUGCCUUCGGGAACUGUGAGACAGGUGCUGCAUGGCUGUCGUCAGCUCGUGUUGUGAAAUGUUGGGUUAAGUCCCGCAACGAGCGCAACCCUUAUCCUUUGUUGCCAGCGGUCCGGCCGGGAACUCAAAGGAGACUGCCAGUGAUAAACUGGAGGAAGGUGGGGAUGACGUCAAGUCAUCAUGGCCCUUACGACCAGGGCUACACACGUGCUACAAUGGCAUAUACAAAGAGAAGCGACCUCGCGAGAGCAAGCGGACCUCAUAAAGUAUGUCGUAGUCCGGAUUGGAGUCUGCAACUCGACUCCAUGAAGUCGGAAUCGCUAGUAAUCGUAGAUCAGAAUGCUACGGUGAAUACGUUCCCGGGCCUUGUACACACCGCCCGUCACACCAUGGGAGUGGGUUGCAAAAGAAGUAGGUAGCUUAACCUUCGGGAGGGC